rnacentral:rRNA from 1 species
AGCGAACGCUGGCGGCAGGCCUAACACGUGCAAGUCGAACGAACUCUUCGGAGUUAGUGGCGGACGGGUGAGUAACACGUGGGAACGUGCCUUUAGGUUCGGAAUAACUCAGGGAAACUUGUGCUAAUACCGAAUGUGCCCUUCGGGGGAAAGAUUUAUCGCCUUUAGAGCGGCCCGCGUCUGAUUAGCUAGUUGGUGGGGUAAAGGCUCACCAAGGCGACGAUCAGUAGCUGGUCUGAGAGGAUGAUCAGCCACAUUGGGACUGAGAUACGGCCCAAACUCCUACGGGAGGCAGCAGUGGGGAAUCUUGCGCAAUGGGCGAAAGCCUGACGCAGCCAUGCCGCGUGAAUGAUGAAGGUCUUAGGAUUGUAAAAUUCUUUCACCGGGGACGAUAAUGACGGUACCCGGAGAAGAAGCCCCGGCUAACUUCGUGCCAGCCGCCGCCGUAA